GAAGCACGCAGCGCUUUGCUGAAGCCAGGGCUUCUUUAUCCCAGAACCCUUCUUGAAUGCCAAGAACCUGAAAAGCAGAGGUGGUGGGGUGGGGGACCCGAGGCCUUCCCAGUCGCUUCUGCACGCCAACUUCCACCAGCUUUGCCCGCUUUUCACAGAAUCCUCAACGCAUCUGGAGGGUCGCAGGUUCCCGCGCCGAUCAAGAGCCUCUGAGCAUGUCCAGAGCGCCUGCUGAGCAACCUGUCUACCCUCCCUCACAGAGCUUCGAGAUAAAUGACUUCAAAGCCUCUGAGGUUGGAUUAGCUAGAGAGUCAAGUACUUCACAGAGUGAAACACACCAAUCAUCAUAACACAGGGGGUGACAGCCCAUCAAGAUAGAGCUAUUCCUGACAGAAUGAAGAAGCAGUGCACUGCUUCACUGCUUAUGUUGGUUUUGUCCAAUGGCUGUGGAGCAAUUAUCAUGAUAGUUUUCAGCAGAAGAGUCUGUUUCUUGAACCGAACACAAAAUAUCUGGCUGAGUAGUUGAAACAUCUGAAGAUACGUUCUCCCUCUUUUCCUGUGUGUUAGCUUCCA